rnacentral:tRNA from 3 species
ACCUUUAGCUCAGUUGGUUAGAGCAACCGGCUCAUAACCGGUUGGUCCGGGGUUCGAGUCCCUGAAGGUC